rnacentral:lncRNA from 1 species
GGAUUACGCUUUUAUUUUAAAAACAGAAGCUGAAACAGUGAGCAGCAAAAUACAUCGAUACUUUUGCUAAAACACUGCAGAAAACAACGAUGCUGCAAAUGUUUUUUUUUUUUUUACUUAUCAUACGAUUCUGACCGUUCAAACCAGGUUUGUGACCAGACUUUUUUUCAUCUACAUUUAGCAUUAUUAAUCAGUAUGUUAAGAGCAUUUUUAAAUAAACAUAACUGUUAAAAUUAUUUUUAUAUGGCAAGGAAAGACAACAUAAACUUUGAAAUUACCAGUUAACCUUGUUUUCUGCUCAUGCGUUUUGAUUAUGUUUGUUUUCAGCAAAAUGGUACAAGAGGCAACUUCAAGAGUACUUCACGAGGAAAACUCUGAACCCCCAUACAGUAUAUUUUCUGUCACAUGGCCUUCUGCCUUACAUAUGUACAGUAUCUAAAUGUAAAAUUAAUAAUGGCUUGAUAAAACAUCUGAUCUUAUAUUUUAAUAUUCAACUGAUUAAUUUUAUUUUAUAGAAAAAUUCUCUGAAGUCACUGGCCUUUGGCUCUUUGGCGCUAUGAGGACCCAAUAUCCUGACUAUGUUUGACUGUUUAUAUAUACAGUGGGUACGGGCUGCAAUAUAACAAAGAGUGAAAAAUUGAAGGGGGUCUGAAUACUUUCCGUACCCACUGUAUAUAUAUAUAUUGUCUGGACCUCCACUGUGAAGGAAAUAUAGAGACCAGACCACUUGGAUCUUUAAUUGAAUACCCCUGUUGUAAAGGGUCUUCAGUGCCUGUAUGUAAUGCAUUUCAGAAUGAAGAUCGUAAUUAGUAGCUCUGACAUGUGGAUGUCAACAUGAUAACAGUUACACUUACUGUUAUGUCUCCAACAGCAUAACACAUAUUAAUGAAAUGAUUUAGUUAUCAAGAACAUUAAAUCAUUACAAAGGUUGUUAAUAGCAGAAUGUGUGAAUAACAUUCACUUGUUUUCAUCUUCAAUGCACAGCUCGGACCUGCCAGAACCCAGCUGUGUGUCCAUGAAGAGUGACUGGUCAAUGAAACCUCCACGUAACUUUAGUGGACACACUGAAUUUGGGUUUAGACCGUACCUGCCAGCAUCCAGCUGUGUGUCCAGGAGGAGUGACAAGUCAAUGGAUCCUUCACUUAACUUUAGUGGAUAUACUGAUCCUUGGUUUAGGUAAAUGCUGUGUUAAAAAUGUAUUGACA